rnacentral:lncRNA from 1 species
GAACACUCGACCCGACCCGAUGCUCCGCAACCGCAUUGCACGCAAUUUCCAGUCGAGUGUGGCAGCGCUUCACCCUCCUUGUACUCGAUUCCUGCGCAAUUUUCAAAAUAAAUGCCCAGUCAACGACGGAGAUCAGAUUGGAAAAUGAGAAAAACGAAGGCGGAGGUCGGAUCUGAAUAUCGGUAUAAAUUCAACAUCCGUGUCCGUCAACGGACGACGAGGCGGCGAAGGAAAGGUUCGAAGAGGAGCGAUUCACUUACCCAUAACGACGCACGUCGUGGGCGGCGUACUCUGGACGACUAAAUCCUGGUGACGCGGUGACCAGAGGGGAGGGUCUAAAUAUCUCCAAAUCGAGGAAUUCGUUUUUCGAAUCCGAAGCUGGUGGAAGGCGGGUUUAAGGAAGGAGGAAGGCUGCGUUGGUCGUUUAUUGGCCGGUCGCUACAAACCACUACUUCUAAUUUAGGAAGGGGUGGAGGGUGGGGA